AUUGUUGGCAUCUAGCUCUGAUAUAAAAUGUUUAAUGACAUCAUACACAAUACAACAUAAUAGCAUCCAGCCACUCCAACAAUCCAAUCAUAUGCGACAAAACCAAGUACAGGAGGAAGGGCAGAGCCAGCCUUAUUUAUUCCAUUGUUUUACAAUAACAGCUCAUUCAACAAGUCUUCCUCUAUGUUUGUUCAAUCUCUAGUUUAAGACUUGAGAAUCUAAACUUGUCUCUGUGUAUUCUGCACAAGAGAUGGCAAUCAGGGAAAAUUUGAGGGAAAUGGUGCUUGGCUUCUUAAGGAACAAUGUAAUUUUAGGGAAGGCAGAAGCAAAUGCUCUUGCUCUGGGCCCUUUCAGUGAUGGAAGUGCUAUAGAGUUUCUGAUGUGGGUUGCCUUGCUUCUCACAUAUAUUUUGCAUUAACUUGAAUUGGGUCUUGUGCACAAGUCAAGAUCCAGCUGAUGGUCUUGCAAAUAGUGUAUUUGGGAGCCAGUAUUUGAGGGAGAGAAUGAUAAUCAUGGUGUAUGUAGAGAUAAAUUUAUGAGCAAUUUGCCUGCGGCUUGAUUUUA